AGACCUGAAAUCAGGCAAGAAACCCGCUGAACUUAAGCAUAUCAGUAAGCGGAGGAAAAGAAAUUAACAAAGAUUGCCCUAGUAGCGGCGAGCGAAGAGGCAAAAGCUCAAAAUUGAAAUCUGGGAUCGAAAGGUCUCCGAGUUGUAAAGUGAAGUGGCGGUCAGAAGAAGGGAUUGACGCAUAAUUCCCCAGGAAAGGGGAGUCAAAGAGGGUGAAAACCCCGUGUAUGGCGUCGAUCCUGACGAAUGAACGUCUACGAAGAGUCGAGUUGUUUGGGACUGCAGCUCAAAAUGGGAGGUAAACUCCUCCUAAAGCUAAAUAUCGAUGGGAAACCGAUAGCGAACAAGUACUGUGAAG
rnacentral:rRNA from 1 species